UGAGUAGACUGGACAGUCGCGCUGGAUUCGCUCCAGUGAGGAAAGUCCGGGCUUCAUAGAGCAGGGUGCCGGCUAACGGCCGGUGGAGGCGACUCUAAGGAAAGUGCAACAGAAAUAAACCGCCUGUCUUUUGGCAGGUAAGGAUGGAAAGGUGGGGUAAGAGCCCACCGCUCCUACGGUAACGCAGGAGGCUAUGUAAACCCCACCUGAAGCAAGACGAAAGAGGGCAAAGAGGCUGCUCGUCUCUCCUCGAUGAAAAGUCGCAUGAUGCUGUUGGCAACAACAGACCAAGAUAGAUGGCUGUCCACGACAGAACCCGGCUUACAGGUCUGCUCACUUU
rfam:Firmicutes bacterium CAG:466 genomic scaffold, scf311